UACGUAGGGCGCAAGCGUUGUCCGGAAUUAUUGGGCGUAAAGAGCUCGUAGGCGGCUUGUCACGUCGGGUGUGAAAGCCCGGGGCUUAACCCCGGGUCGGCAUUCGAUACGGGCAGGCUAGAGUGUGGUAGGGGAGAUCGGAAUUCCUGGUGUAGCGGUGAAAUGCGCAGAUAUCAGGAGGAACACCGGUGGCGAAGGCGGGUCUCUGGGCCGAUACUGACGCUGAGGAGCGAAAGCGUGGGGAGCGAACAGG
rnacentral:rRNA from 1 species